rnacentral:rRNA from 1 species
AUUGAACGCUGGCGGCAGGCCUAACACAUGCAAGUCGAGCGGAUGAAGGGAGCUUGCUCCUGGAUUCAGCGGCGGACGGGUGAGUAAUGCCUAGGAAUCUGCCUGGUAGUGGGGGAUAACGUCCGGAAACGGGCGCUAAUACCGCAUACGUCCUGAGGGAGAAAGUGGGGGAUCUUCGGACCUCACGCUAUCAGAUGAGCCUAGGUCGGAUUAGCUAGUUGGUGGGGUAAAGGCCUACCAAGGCGACGAUCCGUAACUGGUCUGAGAGGAUGAUCAGUCACACUGGAACUGAGACACAGUCCAGACUCCUACGGGAGGCAGCAGUGGGGAAUAUUGGACAAUGAGCGAAAGCCUGAUCCAGCCAUGCCGCGUGUGUGAAGAAGGUCUUCGGAUUGUAAAGCACUUUAAGUUGGGAGGAAGGGCAGUAAGUUAAUACCUUGCUGUUUUGACGUUACCAACAGAAUAAGCACCGGCUAACUUCGUG